CCGCAGGCCAAGGUAGGUACGCCAGGCGCGGAUUGGAGAAACAGGCAGCGACACAUCGCGAAGCCUGUUACGACAAGACGCGGUCUGGCGUAAACCUACCUUGUGCUUACAAUUCAUCUGUCAUUGUUGAGUUUGAAAAUGCUGCUGCUGCAACCAAGUUUUGCAGCUUCAACACAGAAAAUAGAUUCAAAUACAGAAACAGCUCACUUGUUUGUGAGCAGCAGUUGCAACGAAAGAGCGCACCAAGGUCAUGCAAAGUUUUGUUUGAAAAUGUUGUGCCACCAUUCAGUGAGGUCACUCUGAGAAAAGGGUUGAAGGUUCUCCUGGACAAAACAUGUGAAUGGAAAUCCAGUGAUGAGGAACGCUUCAUGCUUUUCGAAGGCUAUGAUGCU